rnacentral:rRNA from 1 species
AUACGUAGGGUGCAAGCGUUAAUCGGAAUUACUGGGCGUAAAGCGUGCGCAGGCGGUUUUGUAAGACAGUGGUGAAAUCCCCGGGCUCAACCUGGGAACUGCCAUUGUGACUGCAAGGCUGGAGUGCGGCAGAGGGGGAUGGAAUUCCGCGUGUAGCAGUGAAAUGCGUAGAUAUGCGGAGGAACACCGAUGGCGAAGGCAAUCCCCCGGGCCUGUACUGACGCUCAUGCACGAAAGCGUGGGGAGCAAACAGGAUUAGAUACCCUGGUAGUCCACGCCCUAAACGAUGUCAACUGGUUGUUGGGUCUUCAUUGACUCAGUAACGAAGCUAACGCGUGAAGUUGACCGCCUGGGGAGUACGGCCGCAAGGUUGAAACUCAAAUGAAUUGGCGGGG